AAUGUCGACUUGAACGAUGGCAAUUUGCUCCAGGGUCAUGAAUCAUCAUAAGCUAGGUGAUUCUCCUAUGCUCGAUAUGCCUUACCCUUUUCACUAUUUAAUCCAUUGUGGUUUUUCUUUUCAUUACUAAACCAAGUAUGAUUGUCUCACAAGAGAAUCGGAUGGGGUAAAAAGAGUUAAAGCAGACGAGGAAUUUACAUUCU